GGACACGUCUCUGGAGAGUCCCGACGGGCGCCGAAGGUGUAAAGGGUCGUAAGGCUUUAAUCUCUCAGGCAAAAGGACAGAGCAAUUUAC
rnacentral:ncRNA from 2 species